GAUUAUGGCUCAGGAUGAACGCUAGCUACAGGCUUAACACAUGCAAGUCGAGGGGCAGCAUGAAGUUGCUUGCAAACUUGAUGGCGACCGGCGCACGGGUGAGUAACGCGUAUCCAACCUUCCCCUUACUAGGGAAUAGCCCGGCGAAAGUCGGAUUAAUGCCCUAUGUUCUCCUUUGCGGGCAUCUAACGAGGAGCAAAGAUUCAUCGGUAAGGGAUGGGGAUGCGUCUGAUUAGCCAGUUGGCGGGGUAACGGCCCACCAAGGCGACGAUCAGUAGGGGUUCUGAGAGGAAGGUCCCCCACAUUGGUACUGAGACACGGACCAAACUCCUACGGGAGGCAGCAGUGAGGAAUAUUGGUCAAUGGACGCGAGUCUGAACCAGCCAAGUAGCGUGCAGGAAUGACUGCCCUAUGGGUUGUAAACUGCUUUUAUGCGGGAAUAAAGUCAGGUACGUGUACCUGUUUGUAUGUACCGCAUGAAUAAGGACCGGCUAAUUCCGUGCCAGCAGCAGC
rnacentral:rRNA from 1 species